CNGGCGCUGCUUCACAUGCAGUCGAACGGUGAAGCAGAGCUUGCUCUGUGGAUCAGUGGCGAACGGGUGAGUAACACGUGAGCAACCUGCCCCUGACUCUGGGAUAAGCGCUGGAAACGGCGUCUAAUACUGGAUAUGUGACGUGACCGCAUGGUCUGCGUCUGGAAAGAAUUUCGGUUGGGGAUGGGCUCGCGGCCUAUCAGCUUGUUGGUGAGGUAAUGGCUCACCAAGGCGUCGACGGGUAGCCGGCCUGAGAGGGUGACCGGCCACACUGGGACUGAGACACGGCCCAGACUCCUACGGGAGGCAGCAGUGGGGAAUAUUGCACAAUGGGCGAAAGCCUGAUGCAGCAACGCCGCGUGAGGGAUGACGGCCUUCGGGUUGUAAACCUCUUUUAGCAGGGAAGAAGCGAAAGUGACGGUACCUGCAGAAAAAGCGCCGGCUAACUACGUGCCAGCAGCCGCGGUAAUACGUAGGGCGCAAGCGUUAUCCGGAAUUAUUGGGCGUAAAGAGCUCGUAGGCGGUUUGUCGCGUCUGCUGUGAAAUCCGGAGGCUCAACCUCCGGCCUGCAGUGGGUACGGGCAGACUAGAGUGCGGUAGGGGAGAUUGGAAUUCCUGGUGUAGCGGUGGAAUGCGCAGAUAUCAGGAGGAACACCGAUGGCGAAGGCAGAUCUCUGGGCCGUAACUGACGCUGAGGAGCGAAAGGGUGGGGAGCAAACAGGCUUAGAUACCCUGGUAGUCCACCCCGUAAACGUUGGGAACUAGUUGUGGGGUCCAUUCCACGGAUUCCGUGACGCAGCUAACGCAUUAAGUUCCCCGCCUGGGGGAGUACGGCCGCAAGGCUAAAACUCAAAGGAUUUGACGGGGACCCGCACAAGCGGCGGAGCAUGCGGAUUAAUUCGAUGCAACGCGAAGAAACUUUACCAAGGCUUGACAUAUACGAGAACGGGCCAGAAAUGGUCAACUCUUUGGACACUCGUAAACAGUGGUGCUGGCUGUCGUCAGCUCGUGUCGUGAGAUGUUGGGUUAAGUCCGCACCAGCGCAACCCACCAGCUAUGUUGCAG
rnacentral:rRNA from 1 species